rnacentral:rRNA from 1 species
GUGGGGAAUAUUGGACAAUGGGCGAAAGCCUGAUCCAGCCAUGCCGCGUGUGUGAAGAAGGUCUUCGGAUUGUAAAGCACUUUAAGUUGGGAGGAAGGGCAGUAAGUUAAUACCUUGCUGUUUUGACGUUACCGACAGAAUAAGCACCGGCUAACUUCGUGCCAGCAGCCGCGGUAAUACGAAGGGUGCAAGCGUUAAUCGGAAUUACUGGGCGUAAAGCGCGCGUAGGUGGUUUUGUACGUUGGAGUUGAAAUCCCCGGGCUCAACCUGGGAACUGCCUCCAAAACUGCAUGACUAGAGUACGGUAGAGGGUAGUGGAAUUUCCUGUGUAGCGGUGAAAUGCGUAGAUAUAGGAAGGAACACCAGUGGCGAAGGCGACUACCUGGACUGAUACUGACACUGAGGUGCGAAAGCGUGGGGAGCAAACAGGAUUAGAUACCCCAGUAGUCC